GUUUAAUUUUUUCUUUUCGAUACACCAUUGUAUUGUGGUGUUUCAGAAGGUAUCUAUUGAGAAAGAAUCUCAUUCUCCUCAAGAUAUGUCAAAAAUUCAUCAUAAAGAUAUUCACCUCCUCAAUCUAAUCAAAGAAUUUUCAUAUUCUUUUCAGUUAUUUCUCUAUCACAUUACGGAGUUGUUUGAACAUUUCAAAUGAUUCAGACUUGU
rnacentral:lncRNA from 1 species